rnacentral:rRNA from 1 species
GAUGAACGCUGGCGGCGUGCCUAAUACAUGCAAGUCGAACGAAACUUCUUUAUCACCGAGUGCUUGCACUCACCGAUAAAGAGUUGAGUGGCGAACGGGUGAGUAACACGUGGGCAACCUGCCCAAAAGAGGGGGAUAACACUUGGAAACAGGUGCUAAUACCGCAUAACCAUAGUUACCGCAUGGUAACUAUGUAAAAGGUGGCUAUACUACCGCUUUUGGAUGGGCCCGCGGCGCAUUAGCUAGUUGGUAGGGUAAAGGCUUACCAAGGCAAUGAUGCGUAGCCGAAUUGAGAGGUUGAUCGGCCACAUUGGGACUGAGACACGGCCCAGACUCCUACGGGAGGCAGCAGUAGGGAAUCUUCCACAAUGGGCGAAAGCCUGAUGGAGCAACGCCGCGUGGGUGAAGAAGGUCUUCGGAUCGUAAAACCCUGUUGUUAGAGAAGAAAGUGCGUGAGAGUAACUGUUCACGUUUCGACGGUAUCUAACCAGAAAGCCACGGCUAACUACGUG